rnacentral:rRNA from 1 species
AACGAACGCUGGCGGCAGGCUUAACACAUGCAAGUCGAACGCCCCGCAAGGGGAGUGGCAGACGGGUGAGUAACGCGUGGGAAUCUACCGUACCCUACGGAAUAACGCAUGGAAACGUGUGCUAAUACCGUAUACGCCCUACGGGGGAAAGAUUUAUCGGGGUAUGAUGAGCCCGCGUUGGAUUAGCUAGUUGGUGGGGUAAAGGCCUACCAAGGCGACGAUCCAUAGCUGGUCUGAGAGGAUGAUCAGCCACAUUGGGACUGAGACACGGCCCAAACUCCUACGGGAGGCAGCAGUGGGGAAUAUUGGACAAUGGGCGCAAGCCUGAUCCAGCCAUGCCGCGUGAGUGAUGAAGGUCUUAGGAUUGUAAAGCUCUUUCACCGGAGAAGAUAAUGACGGUAUCCGGAGAAGAAGCCCCGGCUAACUUCGUGCCAGCAGCCGCCGUAA